GACAGAGGAUGCAAGCGUUAUCCGGAAUGAUUGGGCGUAAAGCGUCUGUAGGUGGCUUUUUAAGUCCGCCGUCAAAUCCCAGGGCUCAACCCUGGACAGGCGGUGGAAACUACCAAGCUGGAGUACGGUAGGGGCAGGAGGGAAUUUCCGGUGUAGGCGGUGAAAUGCGUAGAGAUCGGAAGGAACACCAGUGGCGAAGGCGGCUACCUGGACAGAUACUGACACUGAGGCGCGAAAGCGUGGGGAGCAAACAGGG
rnacentral:rRNA from 1 species